CGCGUAGGCGGCUGCGCAAGUCGAACGUGAAAUCCCUCGGCUCAACCGGGGAACUGCGUCCGAUACUGCGUGGCUCGAGUCCCGGAGAGGGUAGCGGAAUUCCCAGUGUAGCGGUGAAAUGCGUAGAUAUUGGGAGGAACACCAGUGGCGAAGGCGGCUACCUGGACGGGUACUGACGCUGAGGCGCGAAAGCUAGGGGAGCAAACA
rnacentral:rRNA from 1 species